rnacentral:rRNA from 1 species
UACGUAGGUGACAAGCGUUGUCCGGAUUUACUGGGCGUAAAGAGCGCGCAGGCGGUCGAUCAAGUCGAGUGUGAAAGCCCCCGGCUCAACUGGGGAGGGUCAUUCGAUACUGAUCGACUCGAAGGCAGGAGAGGGUAGUGGAAUUCCCGGUGUAGUGGUGAAAUGCGCAGAUAUCGGGAGGAACACCGGUGGCGAAGGCGGUUCUCUGGGCCUGUACUGACGCUGAGGAGCGAAAGCGUGGGGAGCGAACAGG